CGGGGACCUGGCGGGCCAGGCCUGGACUGGCCGGUGGCGGCGGCGACGGAAGAGCGCCGGGCGGGUCCCCCCGGCAGACGCCGACCCCAGGCCCGCGGUCAGGAGGCACCGGGCAUUUCCUGCCCCUUACUUGGCGACCCGAGUCUCUGCCUGCUCUGCAGCGGCGGGGCCACCCCGGAAAGAAAGCUCCCAGCUGUUGGCCAUGGGAGCGCCCCCUCCCCCGUCUUGUCGCGGCUCCCGGAGCCCGGAGCCCGGGCGGCACGUGUUGCUCGGUCCCCGGGGCGGGUCGCGGUUUCCCUUCUCGGCGACAGCCCCUGACACCAGCUUCUCCACCACGUGCUCGGCGGGCGUCUCGCAGCGCCUUUCCUGCGGGAGGGGGGGCGGCUUGAAUCCUCGGCCCAGCCCGGGGGACCGUUGGAGGGCACCCCCGGAGCUCCUUGCAACUUGGAGGCGUGAUCGGCCCUCCGUGAGGUCACCUAUGGCCAUCACCCCUCCCGCCCGUGCACGGAGCCUCAGCCUGGACUCGGCGUGGGGCCCGGGCGGUGCCGGGAGUGUCGUGCGGUCCUCUGCUCGGCUGAGCAAAGUCUUGAAACGGGGCUGCUGAUUUGGGUCUUUGAAGCAGGACUGUGCUUCGAUGCUCACAGCAGCUGCCCGCCACUCGAGGCGGGCGUCUCGUUUUUUCUCUCCGUGAGAGUUCACCUUUCCGUUUUAAAACCACGUUGGGAUAGAAAAUGCUGGCCGCCCGAGUUUUGAAACGGUUUUGACAGUGAGGAUAGUUGGGGAAGAUCUAUCUGUGCGGGAUGCUCUUUGUACCUGUGCGUCGAAACUGGGGUUUUUCGAACUUUUCAGAGAAUCUCCAACAUUUUAGAUGUCAGAAACCAAACUUGAAGUUGGGAUGGGCUGGGCGGGCCAUGGAGAGAGCUUCCAGUCAGCAGAACAAUGCAUUUAUUAUUUAUCCCCCCCCCCCCCCAGCUCUGGGCACUUCUACUAUUGGAUAUUAGUGGUUUGAAUCAGAGUUUUUAAAAUUUCUCUUACAUUUUAUAAUUUGUGGUCUUGGAUAUCAUUUUGAAACCUUAAGAUCUUCUGAAAGGCAGGAGGGUAGGUAGCAUAAUGGUUAUGCAAAGAAACUCUGCUGGGGCUCCAAAGUCCCAGGUUCAAUUCCUCUGCACCACCACAAGCCAGACCUAAGCAAUGUUGUUUUUUUCUUUUUCAAUUUUUAUUAUUUACCAAAUAGAUACAGCCAGAAAUUGAGAGGAAAGAGGGGAGACAGAGAGACAACUGUAGCACUGCUUCGCCACUUGUAAACUUUUCCCCUUGCAGGUGGGGACCAGGGGCUCAAACCUGGUUCCUUGUGCUGUAUACCAUGUGCGCUCAACCAGAUGAGCCACCACCCAGCCCCGAGCAAUGCUUGGAAUAAAUAAAUAAAAUAAAUUUUAAAAAAGUAGUAAGCGCUGAGCCUGCUAAAGCUCAGGAACCUUAUUGAGUUACUUGGUUGUUUAUGAGAACCUGUCUGCCGCAUAAGUUGAGGUUACUAACACUUAAUUGAAGUGUCUGAGAAGGGAAGAAGGUAACAUUUAACAAUGCAUCAGUUUAGAGUCAGCACUUCUGUGUACCUUCCUGUUAUCCCAGACGCCCACAAAUUUCUUGUAGUUUGCUUGUAUUGUAUGUAGGCUAUUUUGACAAAAGUCCCCUUGAAGUUAAUGUCUUUGUCCUGCUAUACCACAAGUUUCAUGUUUGGAAAAUCAGUUGCCUAGGAAGACAGGCUCUGUAUACCUGGUGGUCAUAUAUGAGAGAGGACUGUUGACAUCUUUUACUUUAGGCAGAGAAUGUAGAAAUUUGGAGAUCAGAGGUGGGUACAUUCCAAGAGGCAACACUUGUUGCCUCAUUGAGCAUUAAGGUAUUAAUUCGGAACUACUAAGUUUGGUAUUUAGAAAUUCCUUGG